rnacentral:rRNA from 1 species
CACGAACGCUGGCGGCGUGGAUUAGGCAUGCAAGUCGAACGCGAAAGGGGCUUCGGCCCCGAGUAGAGUGGCGCAAGGGUGAGUAACACAUGGACAACUUGCCCUCGAGACCGGAAUAACGGUGGGAAACUGCCGGUAAUGCCGGAUGGCCCCGCACCUGGGCAUCCAGGAGCGGGUAAAGGUGGGGAUCUUUCGGGACCUGCCGCUUGAGGAGAGGUUCAUGCACUAUCAGCUUGUUGGUGAGGUAAUGGCUCACCAAGGCUGCGACGGUUAGGCGGGCUGAGAGGCUGACCGCCCACACUGGGACUGAGACACUGCCCAG